CGCCCCGCGGGCUCAGGCUCCCCAGCCUUGCUGCCCCGGCUGGCGGCGUGGCCUUACCGACUGCGCUCGACCCCGGGGCUCCUUUCCAGGGACCCAGCGGUGCCCGCUGCCGCCCCGAUUUCAGCAUCGCAGCCCGGCUCGCGCAGGGAGAGCAAAGUGAGGGCGCCCCCUCCCCUGCGCCUCCUUCCCGGCUCCGGGCCCGGCGCCCGGUUAAAGAGGAGAAGGGGAAGGUAUGCAAAUGACAAGCAAAUUGGAGGAGCCCGGCCGAGAGGCGGCUAUAAUAAACCAGACAAAGGCGCAGGGCUGGGGAGGAGCCCGGAGUUUGCGCCCGGGGAGGUGGGAAGGGGAGGCUCGUCGGAGAGCGGCGACCCUGGCGAACAAAAAGCGACCCGGUCUCCUGCGCGGUCCUCUCUCCCGAAAAGGGAGGGCGGAGACGCGGGGAGCAAGCGGACGCCUCCCCGCACCGCAGAAGCGGGACACAAAAGGUGACAAGUCCGGCGACCCCAGCCCCUGGCAGGCAGGGGAAGGAGAUAAAAGCCAGGGAUCCCUCAGCCUCGGGAGCGGGGCCGCGCCGCGCCGGGUCCCGGCUCGGAAAGUGUCCCGAGGCUGUGACGCGGUGCAUCCAACAUCACCACUUUCGGGGCGCGCGCGGCUGAGUGCGAGGCGCCGCUCCGUGCCACUCUCCCGCAGCCGCGCGCGAUCGGGGCAGGGGAGGCACUCGCGAGGGAGAGGUACUUACGGCGCGAGGGCGGCGGACGGGCCUCGCGCGCCCUCUCCCCUCGCUCGCUCUCCCUGUCGCCGGCAGGGAGCGGAAAACACGCGCGCGCUGGUUCGCGAGUGGCGGACGCGCGGGCGGAGCGGGCCGGUGAGUCGGCGCGGGCGGGCGCACCGGCCCCGGCUCCUGAGCGUGCGCCGCUCGGCUCGCCCGCUGCAGCGCCGUGGGUUUCCGAGCGCUCCCUCGGCUGAGGGCUCCGCUCCGCAAGAUUUACUUUAAGACGCAGCUGAAGGAAACAGGAAGACUGCACGUCACAGUCCGACUGACGUACCCGGCCCCAGCACCCAAUCGCGAGGCGCCUUCGGAUUCAAGGGGGGACGGCGAGGCAAGAGAACUUGGGAGGAAAAAAAUAUAUAAAAGGGGUGGGUGUGGGGGUGCGGGCUGGGGAGAGAGGAGGGAGAGCGGAGCGGCGGCUCCUCCCCGGCCCCCUCCCCGGCCGCGCUGCUCCGGGCGCUGCGACGCCGGCCGGGCCGCCGAGAGCCAUCUGCGGGCCGCGCGCCGCUCCCGGGCAGCCGGUCCUCGCCGCCGUGUACGCGCGUGUGUGUGUGUGCGCGCGUGUGUGUGCUUGUGCGUGUUUUUUUCCAUUUCCCAGAUACAGCUGAUCGGGUUCGCCCCGCGCCCCAGCGAGCGAGGGAGCGAGCGCUCCUCGGACUCGGGUGGAGGAAGGCACGGAAAAGUAUACUGGAGACAAAGUGGGGCUUUUCGGGGUGGCGGUGAUGCAGAAGGAGGGAGUGGAGGGUCCACAAAUCAGUCCGUUUUUAGAGCGAUCCUGGGUAGGAGCCGCAAUACAUGUCACGCUUCCUUUUAAAGAGGGGGUGGACUGUGAGAUGCAGGUAGGUCUGGGAUUAAAAUGAUACGUGCGGAGGUUUAACGCUGAGCUCGCUGCAUCCGAUAUAAAGGAGCAACACUGGCUGAGCCCCAGUCAACCACCAGCAAGAUUACUGGGAACAAGAAUAUUUACACCCCCACCACCACCACCACCUCUGACAGGGUCCCUGGGACUAUGGAUACAGCAGCUAUUUAAAAGUAUAUGUUACAAACAUUAUCUCGCUCAGUGUCCCCAGACCGACUCAGGAGCGCAGUCCAACACUGGAUUUACACGAUUUUGACACCUGGGUAACAAAGUUUAAAGUUUAUUAGGCAAGACAUAUCAAACGCUAGAAUCUCAGACUCCAACUUGAAACCGAAGAAAGUUCAUUUUGGCUUGACUUUCUGAGAUGAGAAAUACCCAGCACGGGUUCUCUAGAUAAGGCAGCUCUGGGCUUUGCAAGGUAACAGACGCUGAAGAGAGAGCCUCCAGCCACAGAGAGAAGAUGCCUUUCGCUGGGGACAGUAAACGGCUUUUAAUAAAGCAGGCGAGUUUAUCACUUAAAGAUCCUAUAAAAGCUAGGGCUCGCAGGAGCUGGGAAGUAGAAACUUUCAUGCCUACUCCAGUAGAUGCAUGUUUUUUAGGUUGAACGGGGACCAGCAGUUUUCCUGCGUCCCUCACAUUUAGUCAGAUCAAAGGUUGAAUCGUGUGUUGUGACAAGAGUAUUUAUGAGGUUCGUUGCUAGAACCCCAGGCUGGCUGGCUAUUACCACCAUCUUCUGCGACGGGGGGGGGGGGGGACACCACGCCUUUCUAGGACAUUUACAAUUUCAGCUUCAGGUUCAUCAAACUGUGAAGAGAUAGGAAGUCUCCUCUUUGAAUCAGAACAGCGGUGUUAGUAUGUCACAGUGUAUACUCUGUGGGAAACUUUAGGCACGGAAUUCAAACGUUAAGAAGAGGAGGAGGAAGAGGAGGAGGAAUAAUAAGGUCAACCAGGUUGGUGUCAGCAAUAAGAAAGGCUUUCAGGAGCAUCACCAGCCCUCUGCAGGCCCUUUCCCGCCCCCAGACACCCCUCCCUCCACCGUGCAAAUGCUCACCCUCACACUCAUGCCUCCAGCGAUCGCUAGGCUAGUGUAUCCAGUGUUCUAAUGGGGACGUGACAGUUUAGGCUGGGAACUGAAAUGGCUCCCAACAUGCCCAUGAGCUGCAGUGUGGAAUAAUAAUGCUUCUAUUGGUUGGGUCCCUUUCGAGGGUCUGCUGGAAAAAAAAUUUUGAGGGAGUUUACUGUUUGUGCAAGGUGACUGGCUGAGUAAAGAAGACCAAAGUAUUUUUUAUCUGCAGAACAAAUAAGGCCUGGUCAAAGCUGGAGGAAAAGGUUUCCAAGAUGGAGGAGCCACAUGAUGGGAGGAGCACAGGUUGCAGAGUUGUCACUUACAGGAAGGACACUCAAAAGCACAUCUAAUCCAGACCACAUGUUCAUGAAAACUUUGGGCCAUUCCCCAUUCAGGAAGGACUGACUGCAUCUGAAAUAGGAUGACAGAGGAAUUACUCUCACUGAUAUUACCCUUCAGCUACAUCCCAGCACCGAGAGACUCUGCUAACUGCUAUUGCCAUAAUGACUAGCAAUCACGGUACAAUCACUGAAAUGAAUUAAAUUAUUAAUUUCAAUAGCACCCCAUGGUGCAUUUAUAAAUUCCACCAUCUGGGGAACAUAAAUAUGGAGGUCCACAUUCUAAACUUGGAGGCGUGGUGCUGAGCGCCAAGGGCUGCAUCUUUGAAGGCAGUAAAGAUUUUUCAAGAUACUAUAUGUGGAGCAGCAAGCUGUGCAUUUCAGAGAAGGCUCUGUCCCUGGAUCUCCAUGAGCAUUACCAUUUAUUUAAGGCUCCCAUCUCCCUCAUUUUUAACCAGUUCUUAUUGAUAGAACCAAUGUACAAAAAAAAAAUCUUUGUUUAGGAAGGAUACAGGAUGGGAAAUAAAAUACAACUCUGAGCAGAACUACUUUGUCACUGGCUCCCUUUCCUCUUCGUUGAAUUUCCUUUCAUCCCCUCCCAAAGUCCCUCCUCUUAUUGAGUAGCCUCAAAUAUGCAAAUCUCUGUGUUAAUAAGUAUGUGAAACUGAGACAGCUAUUCUUGGGUUUUGAGUGUUUUCAAAAUCUGUCUAAAACUCCAAGAUAAUUGUUCCUAAACCAGAGGGGAUGCAGGGACUAAGGGGGAAUGACUUACUCCUAUGAAAGAGAUUUAGCUCUCCAUCCUAUGUGGAACCAUUUGGCCAGAUGUUGGGGUUCAGUCUGCCUUCUCUGUUUGCCAUCUGUGACAUCCCCAAGGACUGGCACGAGAGGGGUACUUCUAAAGAGCAUAUGUAAAUGACUUCCCCGGAGCCCUGCAGAGCACGGAAGGCCAGCUUCUUCUGCGUGUGGAUUGCCAACUCAGAGCCACGUGACAGCCCAGCCCUGGGUGGGCAGCUACACCUCCUAUCCACAGCAGCUAGACUGUGAAUGCAAGUGCUCACUGGCAAUACACAGGAGAAGUGCAGAGCUUUCUGCAGGACAAAUAAUUCUAGAACCCGGGCAUGGGUAUGUAGCUCUUGAUCUUGUUCUGUGUUGCCAGGACUUUGGUGCAAUUUCGUGUUUUUGAGCUGGGGAUGAUUAUUUGUCUUAGUUAGCUUUCCUCUCUCUGGAACAAAAUACCUGACACCCACAGUUUAAAGGAAGAGAGGUUUAGGUUGGCUCAUGGUUUUGGGGGAUUCAGUCCCUGUUCAGCUGGCUCCAAGGGAGAAAUUUCAUGGAGGAAUGAUGUUGCAGAGGAAAGCUGCUCACAUCAUGGCAGCCAGGAAGCAGAGAGAGAGAAGGGGGAAGUUAGGGGUGAGCACAUGUCCUUCCAGGUCAUUCCCCUAAGUGACCCACCUCCAAACAGCACAUGUAGCCAGGAACACAUCAAUGGAUCGAUCCACUGAAGGAUAUACCACCCCCAUGAUCCAAACACCUUCCCCAAAACCCAUCUCCGAACACAUGAGACUUUUGGGGUUCAGUCUAGAUGUAAAUCAUAACAUUACUGAGCUGCAGAAUUGCUCCUCUCAGGGCCUUUACAUGUGCACAUUGAAUUGGAUACAGUUAAGUUGACCCAGUAAUUUCAUGUAGGCUCUAAGCCAAUGGAUCUGCAGCUGAGACUGGGGGAACACCUCCCUCUCCUCAACACCUCCACCCCACCCCUUGCCACUACUAGCUGCUGCUGGUCAUUGGCCAUUCAAUGACAGGUAGCUCAGGUUUGUGAGGUUAUUGGAAAGUAUUUGGGGGUAGGAUGUUUCCAGCAACUCUCAUUCAGGUGUAGUCCCAGUGGAGACAAACGUCAGAGUAGCUUGAGAUACGGUGUUCUGGAACUUUGGGAAUGGGUAGUCUGAUUAGAAUUUCACUUCUUCCCUGAUUCAGAUGCCAUUCUUGUAACUUAACCAGAUUAACUUGUUAUUAAUUGUGUUAGGAGAAGAGAAUAAAUAGAACCUGCAAACACAGUGCAUUUAAAUGAAACUUCUGAUCUUCAUGGCAAAGUCCUUGCCUACAGCUUCCCUUUCCCUCCCAGGCUCAGAAACACAAGUGUACACGGAAUUUGAGGAGCUGGCCCUCUCGGGACUCCCUUGUCCUGAGCUUAUUAAUGACAAUGAAGGACCCAAAAAUCAGUGAUUUAUGGAAUUUAGCCACGGUUCUCCCCAGCCUCUCAGGGAGUUAGUAGACUGGAAUAAUUACAGACUAAAUAGUGAUGAUAAGGAGGAAAUGUACUGUAGUUGGAGUUAGUGGGCUGAGAAAACAAAUGUUGCCGGUCUCAGGAGAAUCUGUUUGCUGUUACAAAGGAGACGACUAGAAGCCGAGAGACCUUGCUCUGAUCUACAGAGCUCAGCAGCAGGGAAAGACUGUAAAGUUAUCACAGAAAACACGAGUUGACAAACACAAGACCCUUCCACAUCCUGCUCUCUGCUCAGCCACCCAUUGGCCACCAGCAGACAAAGAUUUCCAUGCUGUUGUUGGGGAAUCAGUGUGACUAUGCUUCAGAGCUCAGAUUUGCUUCUCACACAAAGGCAGGAGAAAACUUCUCUUACACAAAAGAAUAGAGAAACUUCCGGUUUGGAAGCAAGCUGGGGUUGUUCAAUGUGAGCCAGUCAAACAGCAGCUCUUAGUAACUGUGGGGCUUCUUUUCAGAGCCUGCUUAGGGCUUGCCCUAAAUGACUAGCAGUGCUGCAUUUGUAAGCUGAAUCCCUCUGAGGCCCAGGUCAAGGCUGGCCCAAGGCCACUGCAGAAGGCCCAGGUACACAGGAGCCCACCCGGUAAGCAUGGCUUCCUGCCGGAGACAAUGCCUCUCUCUCACGUCUCCUUGAAUCGCUCUACCUGGGUAGAUAACAUUGUGUGACACUGCCCUGCAGCAAAUAAAGGGAAAGAAGAGAACUGGCAUUUCUUCUUGAGAUGAAAACAUACGGUGUCACUAAGGGGAGUGGGGGGAAGAAUGCCUGGGAAGAUGCUAAACUGUGCUGGUUAUGCCUUCAAGGACAAGUAGAAUAACAGAGAAGAUGUUUUCUCACUUCUUGGGCAAUAUCUAAACAGCCUUCACCCCGGGAAGGGAGAAUGCUUGUCUGAGUCUAGCAUGCCGGUUCUGAAUCAUCUCAGCAUUUCCAUUUAAAAGUAACUGCAUACUCAGGCAACCCCUUUUCAGGUAAAUUUUUCUUUAGAAUAGCGUUGGAUGGCCAAUUUAAUUGAUUCCCAGGACUACAGUUUAGAGAAACAAUAAAGCUCUAAGGAGAAUCAUGGAAGGAAAUCUAUGUAAAAUCUAAAGAAUUCACCAUCCGAUCUGUUGUAGUAUGGCCACAGGAAGGUAUGCACAAAUUGGCAGACAUCACAAUAAGAUCUUCAGAGGACUCACUUGGCUUUUCAUACCUUUUCUUUCCCUAAAUUCUCCAUGAGGGAGGCAGCCUCAGACCUUGCUUGAUCAGGGAAGCUUUCUGAAGAGGUCUGCAAGUGACUGGUUUCUGCAAGAAGGAUUUUGGUGGCACCAGAACCCAUAGCAACUGGAUCUGCUGUGAUACAGCUGUGAGGCAUUCUGCUCUUCUCCACCCAGGUGUACUUGGUGGGACUCCCCUGAAGGAGAAGGGCUCCAGAUGUCAUCACCUUCAGGGCUACCUCUAAGACUCCCAGGAAAUUAAAUGCUACAGUCUUCCGGGAGCCUCCCGAAGCAGAGACAGAGGGAUCUGUGCCAUUUUCAAGCCAGUACAGCUCCCUAGCUUCCAAGGUUUUGAGCUCAUCAGCCUAAGUACCUCCAUGGUGAGUCCCAAGACCUCAGGUCUUCCAGUGAGGGCUCUUGGUGUAGAAGAUGUGCUAGGAUUGAGAAAUCGCCCCUAGAACUCUACUACCCUUCUACUCCACCUCCGUUCAUGAACUUAGUAAGUUUUAUGAUUUUGAGAAAGAUGGCCACAUUUGUGCCUGGGUGGGGAAGAUGGCUGCAAGUGUGUCUGUCACCUGAUGUGGAGUUUGUGAACGGAAACAAAAUUUCAUUGAACGCUUUUGUUUGAGAAUUGGUUUGUGAACAGUGUCCGUGAACUGAGGUCUUACUGUAAUUGCACCUAGAGCCUGAUUCUUAGCUUUCUCUGCCCUUUGACUAGAAGGGUCAAGUCUAUAUGAAUCCAAGUUGGCCAUUUAGCUUCACAUUUACCUUAUGCUGGUGAUUAAUUAACCUCAGCUUUGCAUCGUCUUUCUUCGGUGAAUCAGUGCUACUGUAACAGGGACCAUCUGAUUUCAUUAUCCUUAUAGUUAUUACUUUCCUACACCUCUCAAACACUGAGAGCUUAUACCUCUAUUUCAUCCCUUCCCAAUUCACCACCAGUGAGAAUUUUUGUUUUGUUUUGUUUUUUUCCUGGUACCAGGGAUCAAACUCUGGACCUUGCACUUGCAGGGCAGGCGUGGUACCACUCAGCUACAUCCCUGGCCCCAGUGAGAAUUUUAAUAACUGUCCCACUAGAGCAUUUCAGGGGCUAUCAGAACUGCACCCAACAACUCGGGUGGUUGCCAGCUGGCCAGUAAAUGACCCACCUGCUUCUAACUCUCUUUUAGGGUCUCAGUUCUUAGACCACUUCUGGCAUGAAUCCCCUUUAGUCAUGUUCCUGAGAGAAUCUGGUGAGAUAAAGAUUUGCAUUCAGGUAGUUUAUUAGAAAUUGCUUUGGGCACCGAUGUCUGAAAAGGAAGGAAGAGGCAUCCGAGCAGAAGCACCUGGCUGUGAUGCCGUCCUGACAGAGGCCUUGGGCGGCCUCAUGAGAUGCUCUGGAGAAAGGCAUGGACCGUGACAGUUAUUCCAGACUGUGAUGUGGGCUCAUACUCCCACAUCAACCAGCCAUUGGACACAGCUGCCCCGGGGAUGGGAAUAACCUUGAGUAGGAGGCACACUUCAGCUUAGGGUGAAUCGCAAAGGGAACUGUUGAUAACCACACCCUGGCAGAGGGACACGGUGCCAUGGUGGCAGUGCUCGCCAGGUGGGUUCUCAGCUCCACCUUAGCAGAGCUGCACUGGCUCUUCUUGCCUUAGCUGACUUCUGACUUCCCUGACAUAAGCUACUUGCCGGCCUGCUGUCUAACGAGCUGAGUCCGGAUUGUGUUCAUAUCCAUAAACAUGUACAUAUGUAUACAUUUUGGGUAAAUCAAGCUGAAUUUAGGCAAAUUUCAAGGACACCAAAACUGUAUUUGCAGAAAGAAAAAAAAGAGAGAUCAAGAUGGUUCCUUAGGCCUCGUGCGCCAUUCUAGAGGACGAUGCUGCAGCAUGGACCCUGACCAGAGGUCCCUCCAUGUGCUGCUGUGAUCCUGGGAAGGCCUGAGAGAGAGAGGACAGCGGGGAGCUGUGGGAAAGUGGAGGGGGGCGCAAGCAGCUUAUUUGGCCCUAGAUAUGAAAUACACCACCAAGGUGAGCCCUGGGGGAACACUUCCACUUUGGUUUCCAGGGGUGAGGACACAGAAAUAAAGAAUCGGACAGCAGUGUUUCCCAAGCAGCUUGUUAAAAGUACUCAUUCUCUAUGGCUUAAACACUAAGUGUCCUCACGUAGGGGUCUUGGUCCCUAAUAAAGCAAUGACCAGAGGGGAGUUUUUGGAAGAUGAUGGAUCACAUGAGUGCUAAGCUCAUCAGUGGAUUAAUGCAUCAAGGUGUUCGUUGCUGAACGUGCCGUUAGGAGGCAGGGCCUGCUGGGAAGGGUGGGUCCCUGGGGUGUGAGCUGGAAGGUGCACGCUUGUCCCCUCCUCUUUCCCUCUCUUUCUGCUUCUUGCCACCCGAAGUGAGCAGCUUUCUUCCACCACACCCUUCGCUAUCAUGUUUCUGCAGCUGCCUAUUACACUGAAAUCUCGAAAGCAUGAACCAAAAUAACCUUUUUCUCCUUUACAUCGUGUCUGUCAG
ensembl:lncRNA